rnacentral:rRNA from 1 species
AAAGGGUGCGUAGGCGGGCAAUUAAGUCAGGGGUGAAAUCCCGAGGCUCAACCUCGGAACUGCCCUUGAUACUGGUUGUCUUGAGUCCGGAAGAGGUGAGUGGAACUGCGAGUGUAGAGGUGAAAUUCGUAGAUAUUCGCAAGAACACCGGUGGCGAAGGCGGCUCACUGGUCCGGAACUGACGCUGAGGCACGACAGCGUGGGGAGCAAACAGGAUUAGAUACCCUGGU